ensembl:lncRNA
UUUUUGGACAUGUAAAAUUACUGCAUGUAAAAUGAAAUUGGUAUAUAGUUAUCUAAUGUUUUAAAACUUGAUUGUUUGUAAAGUAUUGGUCAUAUACAAUAUACAACAUAUUCCAGAUCUUGAAAUACAAAAACAUAGUGUUUAUACUCACAAAAAUAGAACACGAAGCUGUAGGGUACUGAAUCAUAUAAUUUUUUCCAGCUUAUAAAAAUAUAAACUAUUACCAUAAUUAUAUUCAUUAAUAAAAUGAAAAUGCAAGUUUAAGUUUUUGAAUGAAAGUAUGCUGUACUUCUCAACAUUCUCAUUAGUUACAUAGUUAUUAAUAUAUUUGUUUCUAGUGUCUGUUCACGUGAGCAUAAAAUAACCAGAUAACUAAGAGCUAAAGUUGAGAAGAGAGCUUAUUAACAUUCAUCUUGGCAUCACUGACAAAAAGUAAUAUCUAUUGUAUAUUAUUUUUUAGUUUCCUAGAGCUUCUUCAUUCAUGAGAUUAAGAUGAACUAUUGUAAGAUAUAAGAAGUGAGUUUGAGUCAUCAAGAGUACAUUGCAUUCAGAAUGGUUUUCAUGUUAAGCCAGUAUCAUUGCAUUUUAAUUUUUUCAAGUGUAUAAAUUAUUAAUUACACAUAUGUCACUGUGACUUUAAAAAGUGUUGUAUUCUCUAGAACUUCAUUUUCUUUAUCUACUCUGGAUGCCUGGAAGACCACUUAACUUAUACUCAUUAUUGUCUUUUUAUUUUCUCUAUUCUGGUGUUGUGUGUUCAGCAAUGAGGCUGGGAUUAUCUAAAGGCAGGCCUUUGUCUUCUACUCUGUCAUCAUCAUAAGUAGGAAAGAUUUGUUCUUUAUUUAUAAUCCCAUUCACAUAUGGAUAUCAAUUCAUAUAAAUAGUUGAAUUAGGUUGGGUUAAACUUCACUCUUUUAAGAUCUUAUAACUGUAUUUGAGUGGCUUCAAUUAAUUAUGACAAUUUUCUAUUUGAAUAUUAUUUCCCAAUUUAGGAUACCAAAUUGCAUGUAUUUUUCCUUAAUGUAUAUAUCUCCAAACAGAAAUUCUCUGUUUACCAUAUAACAAUAAUCGACCUUUUUACAUAAUUCCCAUUAUUUCCCAUAAUAAAGCUCUAUAUUUUUAUAGUGUUUUACAGUUUACACAGUCUUUCACUUAAUCAUUCACAAGCCUCUGAAACAGGAUAGUAGUUAACUCAAUUUUAAUCAUGAAGCUAUAAAAGUUCAGAUAAUGAGAAUGGCAUCGAGGGCACAGCAAAAAUGUGGCAAAACUGAGCUUCUGACCUAGAUUUUAUAACCACAGACCAGAGGUAAUUUCUGGUAUACCACACUGACACCAAUGCCCAGUAACAUUUCAUAACAAAUAAUUCACACUCUAUAUUCUGUGUUAACAAUGAGAUUAAAUCUACACAAUAAUAUGUGACAAUUUCUCAAAUAAUUCAGCUAAAUGUUCUUUCCUUAGCUACUGAAAUCCUUAUCCUAAUAUAAAUUAAAUGGUUACAGCAAAUAAGAUAUUUCUCCUUUCAUUCAGUACCAUAUUUUCUAGUCUUAUUGCCUAACAGUCACUU